GUGCUUGCUUUGGCAGCAUAUCUACUAAAAUUGGAAUGAUAUAGAGAUUAGCAUGGCCCCUACACAAGGAUGACACAAAAAUUCAUGAAGCGUUCCAUAUUUUU
rnacentral:snRNA from 1 species